rnacentral:rRNA from 1 species
AGUGAACGCUGGCGGCGUGCUUAACACAUGCAAGUCGAACGAGAACGGAUUAUAGCUUGCCAUAAUUGUCAGCUAAGUGGCGCACGGGUGAGUAAUGUAUAGGUAAUAUGCCUCUUACUAAGGGAUAACAAAUGGAAACGUUUGCUAAUACCUUAUACUCCUUAUUAACAGCAGUUAAUAAGGGAAAGAUUUAUUGAUAAGAGAUUAGCCUGUAUUGUAUCAGUUAGUUGGUGGGGUAAUGGCUUACCAAGACUAUGACACAUAACUGGUUUGAGAGGAUGAUCAGUCACACUGGAACUGAGACACGGUCCAGACUCCUACGGGAGGCAGCAGUGGGGAAUAUUGCACAAUGGACGAAAGUCUGAUGCAGCAACGCCGCGUGGAGGAUGACACAUUUCGGUGCGUAAACUCCUUUUAUAUGAGAAGAUAAUGACGGUAUUAUAUGAAUAAGCACCGGCUAACUCCGUGCCAGCCGCCGCAGUAA